rnacentral:lncRNA from 1 species
UGUCAACACCAUAUCCUUUGUUAUUAUUAUCCGUCAUAUAAAGCUCUACGUACACAUACAUCUUUGUAUUAUUAUCUAUCACAGAGAGUUGCAGAAUAACACACCAUAAGGUAGCUUCGUAUACAAGCAAGAACAAAAAUAAGCUGUUCAUGUCAACAAUACAAAAGUAAUCUUCACCCCAUAUGGCCAUAGAAAAUCACAACAGCAGCCAGUAGAAACACUUGAUCAAUGUCUACUAAUAGAAGAAACGGAUUAUCUUGUCUUAUUGGAUAUAUUACUUGAC